ensembl:snRNA U6 U6 spliceosomal RNA
UUGCUUUGGCAGCAUAUAUAGUAAAAUUGGAAUGAUACAGAGGAGAUUAGCAUGGCUUCUGCACAAGGAAGAUACACAAAUUUGUGAAAUGUUCUAUAUUUUG